GCCCCCGUAGCCCAACCGGCAGAGGCAGUCGGCUUAAACCCGACCGAGUGUGGGUUCGAGUCCCACCGGGGGCACCG
rnacentral:tRNA from 1 species